rnacentral:rRNA from 1 species
AUUGAACGCUGGCGGCAUGCUUUACACAUGCAAGUCGAACGGCAGCGCGGGCUUCGGCCUGGCGGCGAGUGGCGAACGGGUGAGUAAUACAUCGGAACGUGCCCAGUAGUGGGGGAUAGCUCGGCGAAAGCCGGAUUAAUACCGCAUACGACCUGAGGGUGAAAGCGGGGGAUCUUCGGACCUCGCGCUAUUGGAGCGGCCGAUGGCAGAUUAGCUAGUUGGUGGGGUAAAGGCCUACCAAGGCGACGAUGUGUAGCUGGUCUGAGAGGACGACCAGCCACUAGGGAUGAGAACCCGCCCCGGCUCCUUAGGGAGGGCGCAGUGGGGAAUUUUGGACAAUGGGCGAAAGCCUGAUCCAGCAAUGCCGCGUGUGUGAUGAAGGCCUUCGGGUUGUAAAGCACUUUUGGCGGGAACGAAAAGGACUGUGCCAAUACCACGGUUCGAUGACGGUACCCGCAGAAUAAGCACCGGCUAACUACGUG